rnacentral:rRNA from 1 species
GACGAACGCUGGCGGCGUGCCUAAGACAUGCAAGUCGAGCGAGGGGGCUUCGGCCUCCUAGCGGCGGACGGGUGAGUAACACGUGGGCAACCUGCCCUUCAGCCCGGGAUAACCGCCGGAAACGGUGGCUAAUACCGGAUGCGGUGAUCGGGUCGCAUGGCCUGAUCACGAAAGUUUCGGCGCUGAAGGAUGGGCCCGCGUCCCAUUAGCUGGUUGGUGAGGUAACGGCUCACCAAGGCGACGAUGGGUAGCCGGCCUGAGAGGGUGGACGGCCACACUGGGACUGAGACACGGCCCAGACUCCUACGGGAGGCAGCAGUCGGGAAUCUUCCACAAUGGGCGAAAGCCUGAUGGAGCGACGCCGCGUGAGGGAAGAAGGUCUUCGGAUCGUAAACCUCUGUCCUCAGGGACGAUGAUGACGGUACCUGAGGAGGAAGCCACGGCUAACUACGUGCCAGCAGCCGCGGUAAGCAUACUCGUA